AUUUUUGUACAAUGUUCUCCAUUUCUGAAGGCAUCAGCUGAAGAUCAAAGCCUGAGAUCGAAAACCAUCAGCUCAGACAUUUGGUGUUCUAAUACCUCCCAUCUAACAGUUGACUGGCAACUACUCCAGGAAAACCCAGUCCUCUCCUCUGCCCCUCACCCCCAGACUCCUCUCUGGGAACAACAGAGUGUGUAUUUCUGACUGCAGUCUCAAGGCUAAAUCCUUAGCGUGGUUUCUGCCUCAAGUCACCUAGAGAUGACAAGAUGCAUCUUGACUAAUCAAAGUCAAAUUUGACUUGUAUUUUUA